rfam:Camelus ferus unplaced genomic scaffold scaffold261, whole genome shotgun sequence.
GAGGGUAUAGCUCAAAUGGUAGAGCACAUGCUUAGCAUGCACAGGGUCCUGGGCUCAAUCCCCAGUACCGCUA